AUGAGUCCUGCUCCGAGACCAGCUCAUAGGACUGGACACCAUCUGGACAAACAGACAAACAGAGUUACUGCAGCUUGGCCAGCAGCUCCGAGAUGGAUUUCUUUUGAGCCUGGGCGAUGUAACUCAGGUUCUCGGAGUCCAGAACAGACAGGAAGGACUGCAGGUCCCAGAUCAGCUUGGCUAGUACUAAAGGCAGAAGAAGAGACAGAGUGAAGAGUUGAAAGGCAGCGAUAAAAGAAGUUGAUUAUUCACCGUCACACACAGACAGAACAUGUCCGACUGUAGGUUCUGUCUCUUUCUACGCUUAUUAAAUACGGAGGGAAACCAUUUCCGCUCCAGCUGGACAUUAAUCAUCAAACUAUGAUUUAGAUGUUUAAUGUGUUGAAGCAGAAGCUUCUGUCUGGUCUGAACAGUUCAGGUUAUUAGAUUCUGUUAAUGAGUGGAGGAAAAGCACUGGACCACACCUGUUCAGGUAAACGUUCCCAUCUCACAGCUUCAGAUGUUCUGACCUUCAGAAGCUUUGAGAUGUGACAGGACACACACUGAUAAGCUGCCGCCAAUGAUUAACACAGAGUAAAGACUGUGUGUGCUGUUACAUCACCUGAAAGACCCGAGGCUGGAGCACAACAGAUGAGGACUCAGGACUUGUUUAGGUUUCAGGUUUGUCCCCUCAGUACAGGUAUUUAUUUCUUAUUAGAACUUCCUCAGUGACCACUACAUCCACCUAAACACCUGUGUAACCUCUUCAGGAACAUCUAGAACCUCCUCAGUGACUCCUACAGACUGUAAGGUCUCCUGUUCUCCAGAGAUUAGACUCUGACACGUUCCUCGACCCAUGAAUAUAAAUAAUGUUGAGAUUUACUGACUGAACUAAUAUGAUUUGAGUCGUUUUCACAUCCAACUGACUUGAACAGAGACGACUGUCGCUAUAUAUCCAAUAAUAUAUCCAAUACUUUUAUACACAGGUGGGUUCUUGUGUUCCUUGGACUGUUAAGCCUUAAACAGAACCUUCAUCAAGGCGUCAGUGUCUCUGUCCUGGAACAUGUAUUGACUAGUUCUGUGUUGUUGUUUAGAGCCGAGCUGAUUGUCUGAAUUAUCAUCAGAGGGAGGCAAAAUGUAGAAAAUGCAGAGGAAGCCCGUCCACACAGGCAGCGAUUGUGUCCGAGCUUCAUUCACACAGACAGAGCGGGUCCAUUCAGGCCGGGCCGAGUGGGAGAUGAAGGUUAAAAGCUUCGGAUUAAACGCUUCUCUGCUGAAUUUAAGGAUCCUGCAGCUCCGCUGAUCAGCCUGCUGCUGUUUUAAACGCCGAGCGUCACAUAGCUCACACACCCACGACGCAGCAGCAACCACAGGACGACGCUGAGCAGCGGAGAAGCACCGCAGACGACCGGCCGUGCUAGAAACAAGACGUUCAGAGCGCGGACGGCUGUUACUCAGCGCUGCCUAUCUGCCCAUCGGCUCUACUUCCUGUCUCUGGCUUUGAUGCUGCAGAAAACGCACAGAGAAUGACGUCCAGUGUCCAGUGUCCGUUCUACUGUGCACAGAUAAAGGCCGUCACUGUGGAAAGAGCUCAGAGUUAAAACAACAACAAUAAUCUACAACUAACAGAAAGUUCAAUAGGCCAGUUUGGAUUCAGUCUGUUUCACUUUACGACACACUGAGCUGCUCCUUCACUUUCAGUGUGUGUGUGUGUGUAUUUUAGUGAUUUGAGCUGCUUUACCAUGAAAACCAAACCCUCAAAUUAGCACAACGAUGGGAUUUGGCCACUGUGUGUGUGUGUGUGUGUGUGUGUGUGUGUGUGCGUGUGUGUGUGUGUGUGUUACAGGGUGUGGAGCAGCUUUUUCUUUCAUCUGGUUGUUAAAUAUAGGACAGAAGAAACAUUUACAUUACUGAGCUGACUCAACCUCAGGCUCCAUCCACCACUGGCCCAGUAAAUCAGGUGUGACAGAACUAAACAAACUCAAUAAUAAGGUACAAACAGCAGUGGUACAAGUACUCAGAUACUUUACUGCAGUAACAGUAGAAGAACCACGGAGUAAAAACCCUCUGUUCCAAGUAAAAGUCCUACAUUCAAAGUUUUACUGCAGUAAAAGUACUGAAAAGUACCAUCAUCCAAAUGUACUUGACGCUAACUACCUUAUAUACUUCUAAUUUGAAGUACUUUAUAUACCACUGGGUAGCUGACGUUAACUACCUUAUAUACUUCUAAUUUGAAGUACUUUAUAUACCACUGGGUAGCUGACGUUACCUACCUUAUAUACUUCUAAUUUGAAGUACUUUAUAUACCGCUGGGUAGCUGACGUUAACUACCUUAUAUACUUCUAAUUUGAAGUACUUUAUAUACCGCUGGGUAGCUGACGUUAACUACCUUAUAUACUUCUAAUUUGAAGUACUUUAUAUACCGCCGGGUUGCUGACGUUAACUACCAUAUAUACUUCUAAUUUGAAGUACUUUAUAUACCACUGGGUAGCUGACGUUAACUACCUUAUAUACUUCUAAUUUGAAGUACUUUAUAUACCGCUGGGUAUCUGACGUUAACUACCUUAUAUACUUCUAAUUUGAAGUACUUUAUAUACCGCUGGGUAGCUGACGUUAACUACCUUAUAUACUUCUAAUUUGAAGUACUUUAUAUACCGCUGGGUAGCUGACGUUAACUACCUUAUAUACUUCUAAUUUGAAGUACUUUAUAUACCGCUGGGUAGCUGACGUUAACUACCUUAUAUACUUCUAAUUUGAAGUACUUUAUAUACUGCUGGGUAGCUGACGUUAACUACCUUAUAUACUUCUGAUUUGAAGUACUUUAUAUACCGCUGGGUAGCUGACGUUAACUACCUUAUAUACUUCUAAUUUGAAGUACUUUAUAUACCGCUGGGUAGCUGACGUUAACUACCUUAUAUACUUCUAAUUUGAAGUACUUUAUAUACCGCCGGGUAGCUGACGUUAACUACCAUAUAUACUUCUAAUUUGAAGUACUUUAUAUACCACUGGGUAGCUGACGUUAACUACCUUAUAUACUUCUAAUUUGAAGUACUUUAUAUACCACUGGGUAGCAGUACACAAACACUGUCAGUGUCAUGAAGUUGAGGUAUCACAGUAAAAGUACACAAGUAUUAUCAGCUUUAUGUAGUGAAUGUAUCAGUAGUAGAAGUACACACAGGUAUUCCUAAUUAACAACGUGUUAUAUCCCAUAAGCCUGUUUAUUUACAGCUGUAUGAAGUGAAAUGUACAGCACCUUCAGUAAACUGUACUGGAGUCGAAGUAUAAAGUAACAUAAAAUAUAAAUGCCUGAGUACAUUUUCAGUACGGCCAAACUAAAUACCUAAAUACUUCUGUGGCGUUUCCGUCUGUGAAUAGAGACUAACAUGCUGCGUGUAGUCAUGAACCUGAAGUCAAAGCUCUGUAACGGCAGAAAAAUGCUGAGAUUGUCGGGCACAGUCUGAAUCUAAACAGUCUAUUAGCUCAGUCUCCUGAGGGCUGCAGGAGGAAGUGAUGAGGAGGAGGAGGAGGAG
ensembl:lncRNA